rnacentral:rRNA from 1 species
UAUACAUGCAAGUCGAGCGACGGAUAAGGAGCUUGCUCCUUUGAAGUUAGCGGCGGACGGGUGAGUAACACGUGGGUAACCUACCUAUAAGACUGGAAUAACUUCGGGAAACCGGAGCUAAUGCCGGAUAACAUAUAGAACCGCAUGGUUCUAUAGUGAAAGAUGGUUUUGCUAUCACUUAUAGAUGGACCCGCGCCGUAUUAGCUAGUUGGUAAGGUAAUGGCUUACCAAGGCGACGAUACGUAGCCGACCUGAGAGGGUGAUCGGCCACACUGGAACUGAGACACGGUCCAGACUCCUACGGGAGGCAGCAGUAGGGAAUCUUCCGCAAUGGGCGAAAGCCUGACGGAGCAACGCCGCGUGAGUGAUGAAGGUUUUCGGAUCGUAAAACUCUGUUAUUAGGGAAGAACAAAUGCGUAAGUAACUGUGCGCAUCUUGACGGUACCUAAUCAGAAAGCCACGGCUAACUACGUGCCAGCAGCCGCGGUAAUACGUAGGUGGCAAGCGUUAUCCGGAAUUAUUGGGCGUAAAGCGCGCGUAGGCGGUUUCUUAAKUCUGAUGUGAAAGCCCACGGCUCAACCGUGGAGGGUCAUUGGAAACUGGGAAACUUGAGUGCAGAAGAGGAAAGUGGAAUUCCAUGUGUAKCGGUGAAAUGCGCAGAGAUAUGGAGGAACACCAGUGGCGAAGGCGACUUUCUGGUCUGUAACUGACGCUGAUGUGCGAAAGCGUGGGGAUCAAACAGGAUUAGAUACCCUGGUAGUCCACGCCGUAAACGAUGAGUGCUAAGUGUUAGGGGG